GAAUUGACCGAGUACCAGCAGGGAAACCCAAAACAACGGCAGGGAGAAAACAUGAAGGCCCAUCCCUCAUAGUCUUUCUGCCAAGGAGAUGAUGCUGGGGCCUUGUUUCCUGAGAGCACACUGGGUGCUGACCAGAGCUGCGGAAUCAGUGUAUUCUUGGAAGACCUUGGGCUCCAGGGCAAAAGAAUAAGCCGGGCUUCCACGAUAAGAGAACGGAGGAGAGAGCGAAAGCAGAGCCUUCCCGAUGGAAACGGAGCAGCGCACUGACGAGCCUCAGGGAGGGGCACAGGAAGUGUGGACUCCAUACCAGCAUGCUGGCUCGGAGGUGUGAAGGGCCGACAUCUGAGUGGUCAUAGGUGACCUUGGGUCAUACUGCUGCCAUGACGCCUUCCAGAGGGAGGGACAAACUGACUCCAGUCACUAAAGUCUCUAGAGCAACAGCCACAUGAGACAGGUGACAAGUGUCCACUGGGCAGUUGUGUCUAGUAGAGACCCAGCAUGGGACCUGAAUCAAGGGAGUGAUGGCAGGUGACUAAGGGGACAUCCGUGCGAUCCUCGAAGUUCUGCCUCUGCGUAAAGUUGUCCUACAAUGUGCUUAUGCUACAAGAAGAUUUUGCUAGCAGCUGGUGGUAAGUGAUUAAUAUUAACUACACAUGAAAGAGCAAAUGCCAUGCAAUAUAUACAUUAAAAUAGAAAAACCUAAUGCAUACACACCACACACAGGCACAAACAGACACCACACACAGACACAGACAUAUACCACACACAUGCCACACACACCACACACACACACAUACACACACCACAUCAUACCACACUACACCACACACAUCACAAAAUUAAAUGGAAACCCAGCUGCAGAGGGCCUUCGGGGUGGACCUAUCUGUGCUACAGCCUGCCAGUCUUAUGCGGUGGCUGUUACACAUCCAUCCUGUGUGUGUGUACGAUUUCAGAUCACCAUUUGUUCUUUGUGGCAUCUGUCUGCCACCCGCAUACUCUGCCCCCUCCUCUGGGACCACAGAAACUGAAGGUGCAGACCCGUGAGCUUAGCCAUGUCUUUUCAAAUACCUGUGUGGCAUAUGGCUUCUCGAAAGGGCUGUCAAGAACUCCCCAACCCGCUAAGGUGUUCUUCACCCUCCUUUAAGAUGAAACAGAAAAUGCAGAGACCCAGAAAGUGACCUCAAAAAUUCAAAAGUCACUGGGAAAGAACUGGCUCUGGAGACGCCCAUGAAGGUCAGAAUGAAAAGGGUUCCAGGAGAGAGGAAAUCUUAGCCCUGAAAUAUCCCUUAUCCAAUGUUGCAAACACAAUCACACCCACACUGAAAUGGAGUGUUUAUUUAAUGUCUAAUGUGUGGCUGGUUUCCCUAAACAUUUGUUUGUUUUUGUUUUUUUAAAUACAGGUUUAUUUCUUUG
rnacentral:lncRNA from 1 species